rnacentral:rRNA from 1 species
GAGUAGCGAGAACAAGGUGGGAAUCCUUGUGGCCGAAUAUCCAAGGUUUCCAGGGUAAAGCUGAUCUGCCCUGGGUGAGUCGGGGCCUAAGGCGAGGACGAGAGUCGUAGCCGAUGGACAACAGGUGGAGAUUCCUGUACUGCGGUAUGACAGAACUGUGGGGACACGUAAGGAAAGCGGAAGCCGGGAAUGGAAAGCCCGGUGCAAGCAGGGUACCAGUGCGGAAGGCAAAUCCGCCGCACAAUGGGUAGCUGUGAAGCGGAGCGAAAUAAAGUAGCGAAGUCCGUGAGCCAUGCGUCAAGAAAAGCCGCUAUUGUUUGUACCGUACCCGUACCGUAAACCGACACAGGUGGAUGAGGAGAGAAUCCUAAGGCCGGCGGAAGAAGCAUUGUCAAGGAACUCGGCAAAAUGGCCCCGUAACUUAGGGAUAAGGGGUGCCUGUGGAAACAGGCCGCAGAGAAUAGGCUCAAGCAACUGUUUAGCAAAAACACAGGUCUAUGCGAAACCGAAAGGUGAGGUAUAUGGGCUGACGCCUGCCCGGUGCUGGAAGGUUAAGAGGAGAGGUCAGAGCAAUCGAAGCCUUGAAUUUAAGCCCCAGUAAACGGCGGCCGUAACAAUAACGGUCCUAAGGUAGCGAAAUUCCUUGUCGGGUAAGUUCCGACCCGCACGAAAGGCGUAAUGAUUUGAGCGCUGUCUCGACAAUGCAUCCGGUGAAAUUGAAGUACCAGUGAAGAUGCUGGUUACCCGCGCCAGGACGGAAAGACCCCAUGGAGCUUUACUCCAGUUUGGUACUGGGAUCCGGUAUUGCAUGUACAGGAUAGGUGGGAGGCUGAGAAUGUGCAACGCCAGCUGCACAGGAGCCGCUGUUGGGAUACCACCCUUGCAGUAUCGGGUUUCUAACCAGCCGCCGUGAGCCGGCGGUGGGACAAUGCCAGACGGGGAGUUUGACUGGGGCGGUCGCCUCCGAAAGGGUAUCGGAGGCGCCCAAAGGUUCCCUCAGGAUGGACGGAAACCAUCCAAAGAGUGCAAAGGCAGAAGGGAGCUUGACUGUGACACCGACGGGUGGAACAGGUACGAAAGUAGGGCUUAGUGAUCCGGUGGUAUUAAGUGGGAAUGCCAUCGCUCAACGGAUAAAAGCUACCCUGGGAUAACAGGCUUAUCACUCCCAAGAGUUCACAUCGACGGAGUGGUUUGGCACCUCGAUGUCGGCUCAUCGCAUCCUGGGGCUGUAGUAGGUCCCAAGGGUUGGGCUGUUCGCCCAUUAAAGCGGUACGCGAGCUGGGUUCAGAACGUCGUGAGACAGUUCGGUCCCUAUCCGGCGUGGGCGUAGGAUAUCUGAAGGGAGCUGUCCUUAGUACGAGAGGACCGGGAUGGACGGACCGCUGGUGUACCGGUUGAGCGGCCAGGCUCAUGGCCGGGUAGCCAAGUCCGGAAGGGAUAAACGCUGAAGGCAUCUAAGCGUGAGGCCCCCCUGAGAUGAGAUAUCCCAUUCGAAAGAAGUAAGACCCCUUGAAGACGACGAGGUAGAUAGGCUGGAGAUGGAAGUGCAGUAAUGUACGGAGUUGACCAGUACUAAUCGGUCGAGGGCUUGACCG